rnacentral:rRNA from 1 species
AGAGUUUGAUCCUGGCUCAGAACGAACGCUGGCAGCGUGGAUUAGGCAUGCAAGUCGAACGGGAUCUACUUUUUUCAAGUUUUCGGACGAGAAAGUUGUAGUGAGAGUGGCGAAAGGGUGAGUAACGCGUGGGCAAUCUACCUAUUAGUUCGGGAUAGCUUCUGGAAACGGGAGGUAAUACCGGAUGUGGUACGAAAACGCCUGUUUUCUCUUCUAAAGCUGGGGCUUCUUCGGAACCUGGCGCUAAUAGAUACCCCGCGUCCCAUCAGCUAGUUGGUAAGGUAAUGGCUUACCAAGGCUUACGGGUAGGUGGUCUGAGAGGAUGGUCACCCACACUGGGACUGAGACACUGCCCAGACUCCUACGGGAGGCUGCAGUCGAGAAUCAUUCGCAAUGCGCGAAAGCGUGACGAUGCGACGCUGCGUGGAGGAUAACGGCCUUAGGGUUGUAAACUCCUGUCAGAAGGGAAUAAUUGCAUCACGGUUAAUAGCUGUGGUGUUUGACAGUACCUUCAGAGGAAGCCACGGCUAACUCUGUGCCAGCAGCCGCGGUAAUACAGAGGUGGCGAGCGUUGUUCGGAUUUACUGGGCGUAAAGGGUACGUAGGCGGUUUUGUGUGUCAGAUGUGAAAUCCAACCUUUCAUGGGUUGAACUGCAUUUGAAACUGCAAGACUAGAGUAUGGAAGAGGAGAGUGGAAUUCAUGGUGUAGCGGUGAAAUGCGUAUAUAUCAUGAAGAACACCGGUGGCGAAGGCGACUCUCUGGUACAUAACUGACGCUGAGGUACGAAAGCCGGGGUAGCGAAGAGGAUUAGAUACCCUCGUAGUCCCGGCCGUAAACGGUGUGCACUUGAUGUUGGAAGGUUUGUCCCUUUCAGUGUCGAAGCUAACGUGAUAAGUGCACCGCCUGGGGAGUACGGUCGCAAGGCUAAAACUCAAAGGAAUUGACGGGGGCCCGCACAAGCGGUGGAGCAUGUGGCUUAAUUCGAUGCAACGCGAAGAACCUUACCUGGGCUUGACAUACUUGUCGUAGUUCAUAGAGAUAUGAACGUCGGUUCGGCCGGACAAGAUACAGGUGCUGCAUGGCUGUCGUCAGCUCGUGCCGUGAGGUGUUGGGUUAAGUCCCGCAACGAGCGCAACCCUUAUGUUUAGUUGCCAGUCUUCGGACGCACUCUAAACAGGCUGCCGGUGAUAAGCCGGAGGAAGGUGGGGAUGACGUCAAGUCAGUAUGGUCCUUAUGUCCAGGGCUGCACACGUGCUACAAUGGCGUAUACAAAGGGAAGCAAGACCGCGAGGUGGAGCAAAUCCCCAAAAUACGCCCCAGUUCAGAUUGUAGUCUGCAACUCGACUACAUGAAGCCGGAAUCGCUAGUAAAGGAGCAUCAGCUACGGCCCCUUGAAUACGUUCCCGGGCCUUGUACACACCGCCCGUCACAUCACGAAAGCCGAUUGCACCCGAAGUCGCUGAUCCAACUGUUUACAGGGGAAGGUGCCGAAGGUGUGAUUGGUAAUUGG